rnacentral:rRNA from 1 species
AUUGAACGCUGGCGGCAUGCCUUACACAUGCAAGUCGAACGGUAACAGGCCGCAAGGUGCUGACGAGUGGCGAACGGGUGAGUAAUGCAUCGGAACGUGCCCAGUCGUGGGGGAUAACUGCUCGAAAGAGCAGCUAAUACCGCAUACGACCUGAGGGUGAAAGCGGGGGCCCGUAAGGCCUCGCGCGAUUGGAGCGGCCGAUGUAAGAUUAGGUAGUGGGUGGGGUAAAGGCCUACCAAGCCGACGAUCUGUAGUUGGUCUGAGAGGACGACCAGCCACACUGGGACUGAGACACGGCCCAGACUCCUACGGGAGGCAGCAGUGGGGAAUUUUGGACAAUGGGGGCAACCCUGAUCCAGCAAUGCCGCGUUCAGGAAGAAGGCCUUCGGGUUGUAAACUGCUUUUGUCAGGGAAGAAAUCCUGUGGGUUAAUACCUCGUGGGGAUGACGGUACCUGAAGAAUAAGCACCGGCUAACUACGUGCCAGCCGCCGCAGUAACAC